ensembl:lncRNA
UUUAAGCGAAAGUGCGCAGAAGUCUGAGUGCACAGUUGUCGGGGUUCCAGCAGGCUGUGAAACGGGCAAAAACUAAGGACUUCCGAUAAGAUCAGUAAACUAGUCUUCAUGGAGAAGCCAGAGAUGGAGGAGCCUCAGUGCUGUCAGAGUGCAGAGAACGAAACGGUCCAGACUGAGCAAGGAAAAGGGAUUCGUCAUAAGCGGAGGUCUAUUUCACCUUGUCAAGUUUCAGUGAAGAGUGAUGAUUCAAUGAUGCACCCAAUUUCUUUUCCUUCAGGCAGAAGAGUUCGAAAGGCUUCACCAACACCAGACCAUCUUUCUGUGAAGAGCGAAGUCUCAAUGAUGCAACCACUACACUUCAGUCAAGGAGAACAGCAGAAAUAUACAAGGUUUUAUUUUCAGUCUGUAAAUCAUGACUGGUGUUCUGUUAAUGACUUCUUUGGUCAGUUAUUGCCAUGCUUAGGUCAUGUUUAUAGUAAAUGAAAUUUACCUACCAAGUAGUACUAUUUUAGCUACAAACAGGACUUGGAUCCUGCAGGACACAACAAACAAGUUGUGGGUUUUGACUCUCAUUCAGGUGGAAGCAAGGAUUGGUCAAACUUUCUGUGGGAGAGAGCAGGAUUGUUCAGACUUCCUGUGAGAAUGGGCAGGAUUGGUCAAACCUUCUAGGGGAGAUGGCAGGAUUGAUUAAACUUUCUGCAGGAUUUUUGUGGAAGAGGGUAGGAUUGGUCAAACUCUCUGUGGGAGAGGGUAGGAUUGGUCAGACUUUCUGUGGGAGAGGGUAGGAUUGGUCAAACCUUCUGUGAGAGAGUGUAGGAUUGGUCAAACUUUCUGUAAGAGAGUGUAGGACUGGUCAAACUUUCUGUAAGAGAGUGUAGGAUUGGUCAAACUUUCUGUAAGAGAGUGUAGGAUUGGUCAAACUUUCUGUAAGAGAGUGUAGGAUUGGUCAAACCUUCUGUGUGAGAGUGUAGGAUUGGUCAAACCUUCUGUGUGAGAGUGUAGGAUUG